CAUUGGUUCAUUGGCUACAAUACUGUUUACUUGAGGAUGAAAAGAGAAUGUGUCCCGUCUGAGAAGGGUUUUCAGUACAAUUGCAAAACACGGGAACAACAGCACGUGUUGGCAGACAAUGACUGCUGGGAUCCUGCAAGGAUCAGUGCUUGAACCACAGCUACUCACAAUGUAUAUUAAUGAUUUAAAUGAGAGACCCAGAUGCAGUAUCUUAAAGUUUGUGGACAACACAAAGCUGUGUGGGAGAAUCCUCAAAUCCUGCAAAGUACCAGUCGUAUCCUAACAUUAAGAUUUUUUACCAACUAACUUUCCCUGGUUUUGAUGGCCAGCUUCUUUCCAGCUCUGAAGCCUGGACUCCUUUUCAAUUUUCUAAACCUGGAAGCUUCUAUGAAAUUCUCACAAGCUGGAGAUUUCUUCCAGAUAAAAACUCACGGUCUGGUGAUUUCUACAAACAAACCUGCUGUUCUGCUGAUAUGAAAUGGUUUUUCAAAACUGAAACCUGAUUCUGGCCUAUGACCCUCAGUUUCUGUUUAUGUCAUAAAACUCAAUAUUUUAAACAUUCAGCAAUCGACCGCCCUGGUAUCUGA